UCAAUAACCAAAGAAGAAGGAGGAGAAGAGGAAGAAGAGUUGCUUAAGAAGAGAAUUGUUUUAUUCACAGAACAAGCACUCUGGAGGAAUAGUUUCUUGAAUGAAUGAAUGAAUGAAAGAGAAAGAAAGAAAAAGAAAAAAGAGAGAGUGGCUCUUGAAGCUUCUAGAAACAAUUAUUUUGAAAGCAAAGCUUUAGUUCUGUAAGGGUGACCUUGGAAGCUGUGAGAGAUAUAUGGGAUGUGGACCUUGGAGCAGUUUCUUUUCCUCCACUUACCAGCUGCAUCAUCUCAGGCAAGUUACCAAAUGUCUCUGUAACUCCAUUUCCUUACCUGUAAAAUGUAGUAGAUUUUUAGUAAUUGUGAGAAUUAAGUGAGGUAAUAUAUGUAAAAUGCUUAGAAUAGAACUUGCACACAAUAAGUGUAUAAUAAGCAUUAGCUACUAUAUUAAUCAAAAUAGUGGUUCUCAAACUUUGAGGUGUAUAAGAAUCACCUGUCCACUCCCAGAACUUUUCAUUGAGUUGGUCUUGGGUGGUGCUGCAGAAUUUGCAUUUCUGAUGCUGAGGCGCUGAUCUGAUGACUAUACUUUGAGAACUACUGAGUUAGGAUGUAAUUUGCAUGUAAAUAACAGAGAUCCAUAAUCAUAGAGGCUAAAAGAAAACAGUUUAUUUGUAGAGGUAGAUGUCCAGGGUUGGUAUGGUGUAGACUUUUCUAUCUCGUUACCUUGCCAUCCGUGGAUUAUUGCUUCAUGCACACUGUCAUAGAUGACUCACCAUCAUUGUUGAAUUUCGCCAGUAGAAGAGAGAAUUUGGAGAAAGGGGAAGAGAAUAAUACUUCUCUUUAGGGAGACAACCAAGAAAUUGUACACAUUCAAGGUAUACAUGGCCAGAACUUGAAUAACCACAUGUAGCUCCAAUGAGAGUGAAAGAAAUUGGAAUUUACUCUGUAGCCACAGGUCCAGCUUAAAAACCUGGGUUCUCUUACUCAGAGAAAGGAGAACAGAUAUUAUGGUCAUCUAUGAGCUUUGCCACUGCUACAGACUGGUUUCUACAUUUUAACAGCAGCAAAAGAAUUUUUUGUGGAUAGGAGAUUAUAAAUAUACAACUUGAUUUUUCCCUCAAAUACAAGCAUAACUUAUUUAACUUUAUAUCUUUUCUCUAUUUAGAGGGGUCAUUUGACUGUUUCUCAGGGGAAGGAUGGUCUUUCCCUGGGAGGAAUAAAAAUGUUCCCCCUUUUUCCUAAUAAUUUGGAUUUUCAUCAUCUGCCA